rnacentral:rRNA from 1 species
GAUGAACGCUAGCUACAGGCUUAACACAUGCAAGUCGCGGGGCAGCAUGGGGGUUGCUUGCAAUCCCCGAUGGCGACCGGCGCACGGGUGAGUAACGCGUAUCCAACCUGCCCUUCACCACGGGAUAACCCGGCGAAAGUCGGACUAAUACCGUAUGUUGUCUAUUGACGGCAUCCGAUAUGGACGAAAGGUUUGGCGGUGAAGGAUGGGGAUGCGUCCGAUUAGCUGGUCGGAGGGGUGACGGCCCACCGUGGCGACGAGCGGUAGGGGUUCGGAGAGGAAGGUCCCCCACACUGGAACUGAGACAAGGUCCAGACUCCUACGGGAGGCAGCAGUGAGGAAUAUUGGUCAAGGGGCGUAAGCCUGAACCAGCCAAGUAGCGUGCAGGAUGACGGCACUAUGGGUUGUAAACUGCUUUUAUGCGGGGAUAAAGUGGCCCACGUGUGGGUUUGUGCAGGUACCGCAUGAAUAAGGACCGGCUAAUUCCGUG